rnacentral:rRNA from 1 species
AUUGAACGCUGGCGGCAUGCCUUACACAUGCAAGUCGAACGGUAACAGGUCUUCGGAUGCUGACGAGUGGCGAACGGGUGAGUAAUACAUCGGAACGUGCCCGAGAGUGGGGGAUAACGAGGCGAAAGCUUUGCUAAUACCGCAUACGAUCUCAGGAUGAAAGCAGGGGACCGCAAGGCCUUGCGCUCACGGAGCGGCCGAUGGCAGAUUAGGUAGUUGGUGGGAUAAAAGCUUACCAAGCCGACGAUCUGUAGCUGGUCUGAGAGGACGACCAGCCACACUGGGACUGAGACACGGCCCAGACUCCUACGGGAGGCAGCAGUGGGGAAUUUUGGACAAUGGGCGCAAGCCUGAUCCAGCCAUGCCGCGUGCAGGAUGAAGGCCUUCGGGUUGUAAACUGCUUUUGUACGGAACGAAAAGACUCUGGUUAAUACCUGGGGUCCAUGACGGUACCGUAAGAAUAAGCACCGGCUAACUACGUGCCAGCCGCCGCUGUAA